rnacentral:rRNA from 1 species
GGGUUAGUAAGUUGGUCAUGCCUYCGGUAUGYACUGGCUUUACUGAUUCCUCCUUCUUGACGAACCGUGAUGUCAUUAAUUUGGUGUUGCGGGAAAUCAGGACUGUUACUUUGAAAAAAUUAGAGUGUUUAAAGCAGGCUAACGCUUGAAUACAUUAGCAUGGAAUAAUGAAAUAGGACGUUAAUCCUAUUUUGUUGGUUUCUAGGAUCGACGUA